GUAAUCUCACAACUUCUCUAGGCAAGAUCAUUUUGAAAACGUUUGUUUUUCACUAAUGUUUGUCAUCAUGCCCGUGUAAUGUUCUGUGCUAAUUACAAACAAGCGCAAAAAAUGUGUUACCUUUCACCGUUCUACUUACCAGAUAUUCACCUGAUUCUGCCAGUGGCUUGUGGCUAUUAAGAAUGAUGCGGUGACCAAAGAUUAUCACAGGGAUUUUCAGGCUGAAUUGAUGGGGAAUCAAUUUCGACGACAGCUGAGAAGUGAUGCGAUACCAUAGAUUUUUUUCCUUCACAACAAAAUGGAAGAUUCUCAAUUAGAGGUUAUCUGGAGUCAUUCCACAGUGCCUUGCUGAAAAAUACCCCAAAGCAGGGGGCAUGUUGGGUACACAAGCUUGAGGGAGAGGACACACCUUGCUGUUAUGGAGCACAACAAGAUUGUGGGCCUGAAACCAGCCAGGAACACUGAAAGGAGACGUGCAGUACCAGCAAAUCUUCUGCAAGGGGACCAAAUAGUUGGUGGUUAAGAUGCCCUACUUUCGGCAGAGUCUUAUCCAGCUGGCCAUUCACCGCAGACAGGACAAGCCCAUCGCCAUGAGCACAAAGAGUCUCAGCUUUUCCAGCCCACCAUGCCGAACACCAUUGCCAGUGUACCGAUGCCGGAUAAAGGACUAUGGCUGCGUUUACACAGGCAGCCCAAUUC